rnacentral:lncRNA from 10 species
CUGUGCCUUGAUAUGUAGAGUGGUGUUCCCAUAUGUAGAGUAGACUGUGGUCCCAACCUCUUAAAGUAGUUGGGAAGAUAAAAUGAGUUAAUCCUUGUGGACCAUUUGGAAUACUACCUGACACAGGAUUCACUCGCAUUUACACAGGACUGAGGGCAAGGGUGGUGUCUGCUCAGGAUCUUCAUGUAAUCAUCUCCUUACCUACCAUAGAUGACAGAAUUUAAUGAAAACAGGAAAAGACCUCAGUCAGACUGUAAGCCAGACUCUUGGGGAAGACCCGAGAUUUAGUCUUGAGAAGACAUUGGUUCUAGCAGGGAAGGUGGUAA